rnacentral:rRNA from 1 species
CUACGGGCGGCUCCAGUGGGGAAUAUUGCACAAUGGAGGAAACUCUGAUGCAGCAACGCCGCGUGGAGGAUGACACCUUUCGGAGCGUAAACUCCUUUUAUAUAGGAAGAAGAUGACGGUACUAUAUGAAUAAGCGCCGGCUAACUCCGUGCCAGCAGCCGCGGUAAUACGGAGGGCGCAAGCGUUACCCGGAAUCACUGGGCGUAAAGAGCGUGUAGGCGGAUUAAAAAGUCAGAAGUGAAAUCCUAUAGCUUAACUAUAGAACUGCUUCUGAAACUCUUAAUCUAGAAUAUGGGAGAGGUAGAUGGAAUUUCUGGUGUAGGGGUAAAAUCCGUAGAGAUCAGAAGGAAUACCGAAUGCGAAGGCGAUCUACUAGAACAUUAUUGACGCUGAGACGCGAAAGCGUGGGGAGCAGACAGGAUUAGAUACCCUGGUAGUC